GCGAAUGGUGGAUGCCUUGACUGGUAAAGGCGAUGAAGGACGUACUAGACUGCGAUAAGCUACGGGGAGCUGUCAAGAAGCUUUGAUCCGUAGAUUUCCGAAUGGGGCAACCCAAUGUAUAGAGAUAUACAUUACCUAUAUAGGAGCGAACGAGGGGAAUUGAAACAUCUUAGUACCCUCAGGAAAAGAAAUCAAUAGAGAUUGCGUCAGUAGCGGCGAGCGAAAGCGCAAGAGGGCAAACCCAGUGCUUGCACUGGGGGUUGUAGGACUGCAAUGUGCAAGAGGUAAGUUUAGCAGAACAUUCUGGAAAGUAUAACCAUAGAGGGUGAUAGUCCCGUAUGCGAAAAACAAACCUUAGCUAGCAGUAUCCUGAGUAGGGCGGGACACGAGGAAUCCUGUCUGAAUCCGGGUCGACCACGAUCCAACCCUAAAUACUAAUACCAGAUCGAUAGUGCACAAGUACCGUGAGGGAAAGGUGAAAAGAACUGAGGUGAUCAGAGUGAAAUAGAACCUGAAACCAUUUGCUUACA
rnacentral:rRNA from 1 species